UUAUACAGAUGAUGAGAAAAUUAGAAUUACUUCAGUUAUCCCUGUCUGAUGCUUCUGUGCUGAUCCUUCAUGCUCUAAUGUAUAC
rfam:Spinacia oleracea cultivar SynViroflay scaffold9905.con0002.1, whole genome shotgun sequence.